rfam:Camelus ferus unplaced genomic scaffold scaffold1652, whole genome shotgun sequence.
GAGGGUAUAGCUCAGUGGUAGAGUGCAUGCCUAGCAUGCACGGGGUCCAGGGUUCAAUCCCCAGCACCUGCA